CACCGACGAACGCCCAUCAAAACUUACGACUGAAGAAGUGUCUGAUCCGUCAUCCACAUUGGCUACUACAGACCAUAACCAACAGUAUCUGCGUAUGGGAUACCUGAACUACAUUUCAGUCACUCAGUAAAGUGAUAACUCAAAAUACAACUGUCAACAGAUCUGAAGAAAUUGCCACUGCGUCUUUAGACCGUUUUCGUCAGACGAGAGACACAGUUCUGACUCUGAUUACCGGUUGCUGUACGUAUCUAUCCACAUCAACGCUUUUGAGAGAGACUCGUGAAGAUUCAAGACAGCUCUUAGAGGAUUUGCAGUUUAAAAGUGAAAUAACUGUGAAAUAAGUGUGUGAAUGAUUA